rnacentral:rRNA from 1 species
GAUGAACGCUGGCGGCGUGCCUAAUACAUGCAAGUCGAGCGAACGGACGAGAAUCUUGCUUCUCUGAUGUUAGCGGCGGACGGGUGAGUAACACGUGGAUAACCUACCUAUAAGACUGGGAUAACUUCGGGAAACCGGAGCUAAUACCGGAUAAUAUUUUGAACCGCAUGGUUCAAAAGUGAAAGACGGUCUUGCUGUCACUUAUAUAUGGUUCCGGGCUGCAUUAGCUAGUUGGUAAGGUAACGGUUUACCAAGGCAACGAUGCAUAGCCGACCUGAGGGGGUGAUCGGCCACACUGGAACUGAGACACGGUCAAGACUCCUACGGGAGGCAGCAGUAGGGAAUCUGCCGCAAUGGGCGGAAGCAUGACGGAGCAACGCCGCGUGAGUGAUGAAGGUCUUCGGAUCGUAAAACUCUGUUAUUAGGGAAGAACAUAUGUGUAAGUAACUGUGCACAUCUUGACGGUACCUGAUCAGAAAGCCACGGCUAACUACGUG